rnacentral:rRNA from 1 species
AGUGGCGCACGGGUGAGUAACACGUGAAUUACAUGCCCUAUAGAGGGGAAUAGCCCAGGGAAACUUGGAUUAAUACCCCAUAGUCUCGCAAGAGUAAAGGUGGCCGCAAGGCUGUCGCUAUAGGAUUGGUUCGCGCCCUAUCAGCUUGUUGGUGAGGUAACGGCUCACCAAGGCAAUGACGGGUACCUGGUCUGAGAGGACGAUCAGGCACACUGGAACUGAGACACGGUCCAGACACCUACGGGUGGCAGCAGUCGAGAAUAAUUCACAAUGGGGGCAACCCUGAUGGUGCAACGCCGCGUGGAGGAUGACGGUCUUCGGAUUGUAAACUCCUGUCAUCUGGGAGAAAGACCUGGGAGUUAAUAGCUCACAGGGUUGAUAGUACCAGAAGAGGAAGGGACGGCUAACUUCGUGCCAGCAGCCGCGGUAAUACGAAGGUCCCGAGCGUUGUUCGGAAUCACUGGGCGUAAAGGGAGCGUAGGCGG